CCAGGAGGAAAAGGACAUUUGUUGGGAACUGGACCUCUGUGUAAGGAAACAGACUGUACGAAUGAUUGGACAGGCUGUAUGUACUUGGGGACCAGCGUACUGGUGUAAGAACCCACGUACAGCCACCAUGUGCAAUGCUUUUGAUUACUGUAAGAAACGCCGCUGGAAACAGGACUAAUUUCAUAUCACUGGUGGAAGGCAACAGAAAUUGAAUACUUAAAAAAAUGCAAAGGCUCUUCCUUUAGUACCAGUUAAAUGAUGAUUCUGCUUGUGUGUGUGCAUGUUUCCUUUAAGCAAUUUUGUGUUGCUGUAGCUUGUGCAUUCAAUGCAAUCUCUUUUAUUGUGAGAUGUUACAGAGACGAGAUUAUUGGUAAUCCUUUACUUCCAUCGAAUCAACAUUGCCAGAUGCUAUAUACGCAGAGUUUCAAUGACAAAUAUUGAUUGGGGUUUUGAUUUCAUCAACUGUAAAAAUUCAGCAGACUAAAGUGCUUUAAGAUCA